rnacentral:lncRNA from 1 species
UGCUUUAUCAGUAGCCAAUUCUUCUCUCCACGUCACCAACAAAAGAUCAUUCUCAGAGUUCACUGGGCUUCGCACCUCAUUUGCCCUUCCAUUCGGAAAGAAAGCUAACGAUGACUUGCUCUCUUUUGUUGCUUUCCAUAACUCUGUUGUAAGUUAUUCCAUACUUACUACCUAUUCUAGCACCUCUGCCUUAUUUUUCGAGCGUACUAAUUGCCUGCAGUUAUCUUUCAAGCCUACGUGGGCAACUAUUGGUGCAACUUAUUUUUCAAAUGUACGUGUGCAACUAUAUGUUUGUUCCAAAUAUCAAACAUAGUACUCUAGUAGCGGAGGUGAGAUUUGAGUUUUAUGGGUGCACUUUUAUAUUUAAACAUAAUAAUUGAUAGUGCCAAAAUUUAACAUAUAAUUCUUUGAAAACUUAAUAUUAUUAAAUAUCAUUAAUUUGGUUUAAUAUGACAAAAGAGUGUUAUUCACUACAGUUGAUUUGAUACACUUUUAUAUUUUAAACAAUAAUAGAGAGUUUUUGAAAAAUAGAAAAUCUGAAAGAUUUGUUUGCUAAAUGGUUGCUAUGAGAAAACGUUGAUUUAAGCCUAUUUCAAAUUUUAAAUUGCUAAUUUUUAAAUAGAAAAUAAGUCAAUGAUUAAAAAUAAAAGUAAAUUAAACAUUAUAUAGUAUAAGAUAGGGGGAAUUUAUCUUUUGAAAUUGGAGGGGAGCUUGUAUUUUUGAAAUAAAAUUAAAAAAUACAUAAAUAAUGUGUGUGUCAAUAUUGUUUGGGGGGGGGGGGGGAAUUGUACUUGGAAAAAUGAGCAAUAAAACAAUUGUAGUUGGGUGGGUUUCGAACCCAAAUCCUCCACCCAAAGAGGAGGUUUUAUGCUACAAGUUCAACCACUAUACAAUUGUUUUUGAGAAUGCACAACGUAUAUUUAGUUAAAUUCACUAGUAUAUAUACAGAUAUACAACCUAUAUAUACAAAAAAAUUUCUUGAGGCUAGUGGGUGCACAUGCACCCACUACUCUAUACGUAGGUCCGCCUAGACAGAAAAUCAUUCCUUCAAUGUAUGUGCGUGGUUUCCAAUUGAAGAUAUUCAGUACUACUGCGACACAAUUUCGUUACAACAUUUUCAGAAGUUCAAUAUAUAAAAUUACCACGGAUCGUGAUACUCUUGUUCAUCUGUUGUUAUUGUUUGAUGGUACGCUUGGAGUUAAUGAGUUGGAUAAAACGUAGAUUGGUGGAGGAAAGAACAAGGGGAGAGUAGUGGAGGCAAAAUUGAAGGUAGCCAUCAACGGAUUUGGAAGGAUCGGAAGGAAUUUCUUGAGGUGCUGGCAUGGCAGGAAGGACUCUCCCCUAGAAGUCAUUGCCAUCAAUGACUCUGGCGGUGUCAAGCAAGCCUCUCACCUCCUCAAGUACGACUCUACCCUUGGCAUCUUUGACGCUGACGUCAAGCCUGUUGGUACUGAUGGCAUCUCUGUUGAUGGAAAGGUCAUCAAAGUCGUCUCCGACCGCAACCCCAUCAAUCUCCCCUGG